GACUAUGAAUACAUUGAAUGCUGUAGCCUGCCGCAGAAUGCAGUAAUAUAUUCUGAGCAUCCCAGAAGAGACACAUUUUGAAAACCCAAAAGGGCCUGAACGAAGGGUCACAAUACAGACAUCAUUAAUUAACGGGCACACACCAAAAUCAGUUCAAGCUCUAUAGUCUGUAUAAUGAUGAGGAUUUUCUUCUCCAUAAUAAAAUAACAAAGCUGCUGAUUCAGCUUUUCUUCUGUUGGGAGAAGGUAUAUGCAACCCAGGCUUUGGAAUGGAAAAUAACUCCAUUUUUUCUUUACAAAGAGGGACAUGACAUAAAAGAUGUAUAUAAAGACCCUUUGAUGACCUGGAAAAAUGCAAAUGAUACGAGUAAAAGACAACAAGUUGCAUUGGAAAUCAGGGCCAGGUCUUUUUCCGCCUGGGGUUUCGUUUGAACAUGUCUGGAAUGCAGGAGUAAGAAACCCUUUGAAAUAACAUGGAGAGUGGGCGUUUCCAGCUGAGAGGAGCAUUUGAUCUUUUCCUGGAAAAUAAGUACCUGCACCACCAAGAAAAGUGACUUGUCCCCACAGAAGGACAAGUUUCUCAAACAGGAAGCAUGUGGCACCAACCAUGAAGAAAGGACAGUACCAUUUGUAAUGCUAUAAAUAUUAAGAUGUCUGGGAAGCAUGAAGAAUUUUUAUUUCUGGCCACUGAGCAUUCCUUUUUUUUUUUUUUUUUUUUUUUUUUUUUCUAUUUCUAAGAGUAGCGUAGUCUUUAUUUGAAACUUUUUCAUGCCUGGUAUUCUAUUUUUCAACACAGGGACAUGUAAUGAUUCAGCAUAUAAUAGGUAUUCAAUAAAUGUUAGUUCAAUGAGGGGAGUACA
rnacentral:lncRNA from 1 species